GCUGGGCAUGGUGGUGCGUGCCUGUAAUCCCAGCUACUCGGGAGGCUGAGGCAGGAGAAUUGCCUGAACCCAGGAGGCGGAGGUUGCUGUGAGCCAAGAUCGUGCCAUUGCACUCCAGCCUGGGUAACAAGAGCAAAACUCCGUCUCAAAAAAAAAAGUGUGUGUGUUUGACACAGAGUCUGUUUUGCUCUUUUGCCCAGGCUGAACUUCAGUGGCACAAUCUUGGCUCACUGCAACCUCUGCCUCCUGGGUUCAAUCCAUUCUCAUGCCUCAG
rnacentral:sRNA from 1 species